GAUGAUAAACAAAGUUGCCUAAAACCAAUGGAUUGAUUGCUUUUAUAUUAAUUAAAUUCGUAAUCUCUGUUAUUGCUUCCACAAACAAAAAAACCCCAAAUUGCAACCUUUAAAUUCAUUCUAAUAUUGUUAAACCGAUCGUGAGUCCUUGCGAAACGACCAAGGUCACUACCUUGUACUACUUAUUUUAAAAUUAUUUUGAUCAUAUAUCACCUUAUUGUUUUGUCAUCCAAUUGAGUAAGACUCAUAGGAUAAAUAUGAGUCUUGUUGUAAAGAUUCACAUGGAUGGUAUUGUGAAUACCUUUAUGGUGUGAUUGAAUGUGAAAGGUUUCACACAAAUCAUGAUGCAAUUAUGAUGAAACCUUUAUUUCAAUCAUAGUGCUUAAACUCAUUUGAUUCCAAUUGCAAUUAUUGUAUGUUUUACUAUGAGUUCUGGCAGAUGGACAGCGAGGUUAUAUUCCUUAAUUGGAAUGACCUUACAUAUGUAUUUGACAUAUGGACGGGGUUUCGUUAAUCUAAA
rnacentral:lncRNA from 1 species